rnacentral:rRNA from 1 species
UACAGAGGGUGCAAGCGUUGUUCGGAAUUAUUGGGCGUAAAGGGCGCGUAGGCGGUGCGGUAAGUCUGUAGUGAAAUCUCUGGGCUCAACUCAGAGUCUGCUGCAGAAACUGCCGUGCUUGAGGGAUGCAGAGGAGAUUGGAAUUCCCGGUGUAGCGGUGAAAUGUGUAGAGAUCGGGAGGAACACCGGUGGCGAAGGCGGGUCUCUGGGCAUCUCCUGACGCUGAGGCGCGAAAGCGUGGGGAGCAAACGGG